ensembl:lincRNA Gm15889 predicted gene 15889
AGUCUAAUCAGACAGCCCUACCUACUACUCCACUACACCACUACAGUCCAGUCCCCUGCGGGAGAGAGGCAGUGGGGCCCAGGGAUCUUUCAGCAUUUGCUAUGUGGCAGCUGUUACUUUGUUUUCUUCUCUUGGCUUGAAAGGCUGGGAACUAAGAGCCAACGGAACAGCAACAACAACAAUACCGAGUUUCCACAGAGUCCCUGUGGACCCAGCACCUGGCCAGUGCUCAAGAGCGCCCUAGCACCAAUGGUUUCAUCACCCUUUAAAAGAAGUUCUGGACGGAUACCAUCUAAAACUGUGGAUUUCUCAUGGAAAGUCUCAGCGAUGACUUUCGUCCCUUGAUCCACUUGAAGUCCUGUCUCUGAGGGGCACAGAAGCCAACCAG